GACGAACGCUGGCGGCGUGCUUAACACAUGCAAGUCGAACGGAAAGGCUCUGCUCUUGUGGGGUGCUCGAGUGGCGAACGGGUGAGUAACACGUGAGUAACCUGCCCUUGACUUUGGGAUAACUUCAGGAAACUGGGGCUAAUACCGGAUAGGAGCUCCUGCUGCAUGGUGUGGGUUGGAAAGUUUCGGCGGUUGGGGCUGGACUCGCGGCUUAUCAGCUUGUUGGUGGGGUAGUGGCUUACCAAGGCUUUGACGGGUAGCCGGCCUGAGAGGGUGACCGGCCACAUUGGGACUGCGAUACGGCCCAGACUCCUACGGGCGGCAGCAGUGGGGAAUAUUGCACAAUGGGCGGAAGCCUGAUGCAGCAACGCCGCGUGCGGGAUGACGGCCUUCGGGUUGUAAACCGCUUUCGCCUGUGACGAAGCGUGAGUGACGGUAAUGGGUAAAGAAGCACCGGCUAACUACGUG
rnacentral:rRNA from 1 species